AUUGAACGCUGGCGGCAUGCCUUACACAUGCAAGUCGAACGGCAGCGGGGAGGAGCCUGCUUUUCCUGCCGGCGCGUGGCGAACGGGGGAGUAAUUCAUCGGAACGUGCCCCGUAGGGGGGGAUACACAAUCGGAAGAUUAGGUAAUACCGCAUACGACCUGAGGGGGCAAGUGGGGGACCGCCAGGCACCAUGCUCUAGGGACGGGCGGUGUCUGGUUAGCUAGUUAGUGGGGUAAAGGCCUACCAAGGCGACGAUCAGUAGCUGGUCUGAGAGGACGAUCAGCCACACUGGGACUGAGACACGGCCCAGACUCCUACGGGAGGCAGCAGUGGGGAAUUUUGGACAAUGGGCGAAAGCCUGAUCCAGCAAUGCCGCGUGUGUGAAGAAGGCCUUCGGGUUGUAAAGCACUUUUGUCCGGAAAGAAAUGGCUCUGGUUAAUACCUGGGGUCGAUGACGGUACCGGAAGAAUAAGGACCGGCUAACUACGUGCCAGCCGCCGCAGUAA
rnacentral:rRNA from 1 species